GUCGCCUCCUAAAAGGUAACGGAGGCGCUCAAAGGUUCCCUCAGAAUGGUUGGAAAUCAUUCAUAGAGUGUAAAGGCAUAAGGGAGCUUGACUGCGAGACCUACAAGUCGAGCAGGGUCGAAAGACGGACUUAGUGAUCCGGUGGUUCCGCAUGGAAGGGCCAUCGCUCAACGGAUAAAAGCUACCCCGGGGAUAACAGGCUUAUCUCCCCCAAGAGUUCACAUCGACGGGGAGGUUUGGCACCUCGAUGUCGGCUCAUCGCAUCCUGGGGCUGUAGUCGGUCCCAAGGGUUGGGCUGUUCGCCCAUUAAAGCGGUACGCGAGCUGGGUUCAGAACGUCGUGAGACAGUUCGGUCCCUAUCCGUCGUGGGCGUAGGAAAUUUGAGAGGAGCUGUCCUUAGUACGAGAGGACCGGGAUGGACAUACCUCUGGUGUACCAGUUGUCGUGCCAACGGCAUAGCUGGGUAGCUAUGUGUGGACGGGAUAAGUGCUGAAAGCAUCUAAGCAUGAAGCCCCCCUCAAGAUGAGAUUUCCCAACUUCGGUUAUAAGAUCCCUCAAAGAUGAUGAGGUUAAUAGGUUCGAGGUGGAAGCAUGGUGACAUGUGGAGCUGACGAAUACUAAUCGAUCGAAGACU
rnacentral:rRNA from 1 species